GUGUCCCCCGGGACGGGCUCCUGCAAGGGGCACCUUGGCAGGGCGGACGUUGGAAGCUGAAUGCGGAGGAAGCAUCUGGAAGCGGAGAUCUUGGCCUCAGCUCUCCUGUCCUGGGGACGCUCUGCAAGUCACCGGCAGGCAUUUGGAUUCACUGUUCAAGUCAGCCGUCCUCUCCAGUGAACUGGACGAGAAGGGCCAGGGUCGAGGAGUACAAAACAUGGUAGCUGAAGGUCUGCCGACUUGGCAGGUUUUUUAUUUAUUGCACCUGUGACUCAACCAAGUGGGGAAACAGCUUCUGUCUGAAACGGGAAAAAGAUCUGAAGAACCAACGUUUUGACAGAAGAGCCAUCUCAGUGAGAGGCAGAGGCUGAAAAUGAACGUCAAUAUCCACCCAGAGAAAAAUCAAAUGCCGGGCAGCCUCCAGCGACUUCCCCGUCAAUUCCCCGUCAGUGCAAACCCCUUUGCUGUUAAUAUUUCAGUAAAGGGCACUCACUUCUUGGGACCCUGAUUCAUGGAUCUAUUUGGGCACAGUGCCUGCCCCUUUGUUCAUAAGAUCCAUAUGCAAUUAAA